UACGGGGGGGGUAAGCGUUGUUCGGAAUUACUGGGCGUAAAGGGCUCGUAGGCGGCCAACUAAGUCAGACGUGAAAUCCCUCAGCUUAACUGGGGAACUGCGCCUGAUACUGGAUGGCUUGGAUUCGGGAGAGGAAUGCGGAAUUCCAGGUGUAGCGGUGAAAUGCGUAGAUAUCUGGAGGAACACCGGUGGCGAAGGCGGCAUUCUGGACCGAUAUUGACGCUGAGGAGCGAAAGCCAGGGGAGCAAACGGG
rnacentral:rRNA from 1 species